rnacentral:lncRNA from 1 species
AUGCAAACGUCCUCUGCCUUCUGGGUCUUUGGUCCGGGAGCAGGGCGGCGUUCCCGGUGCUCACGGAGCUGUGGCUGCGGGCUGGUGGGGAGCACGGUGACUCGGGCAGGGAGAGGAGGUGCUGACCCCUGUGCCCUGCGACUCGGGUUAACCAAUCAGACCCUCUCUUUGAAGACGCAAUUGUGGGUGCUUUCAACACUCUCUUUCCUUGAAAUAUUCUUUUUCUCUUUUUUCCUUUUUGGAUCCCGCCGCGGGCAUUUCUGUCUGUUCUGUGAAGAAGACUCCUUCUGCGGCCAACACCAGCAGCGAGCGCGCCGGAGCCGGCUGCCGUCCCUGCGGGGACCGGGCGUGCUCGCCUGGCUGAGCGCUUGGGAGCUCGCGGCACAAGUGCAGGCUGCGGGCCGGGGUGGUCACUCGGGCCUGCGACUGCGUUCCGGUGUCUCGGGAAGUACUAAGGACCCACCAGGACAGCGUCUUCCUGCUGGGCUGCCCCGGCUGCGGCAAGCCCCUCCUGAUGGGCAGCCUGCUUCGUCUGAGGAGCAAGGGUCGGGGAACCAGCCCGGGAGGGGCACGCGUCCCCUGUUUCCCAUGGUGGCUCUGGACACAGGAUGGAGAGCACUCGUGAAGGGGGUGGGGGGGGCUGUGUGUCCUCCACGGCCCCGCCUCCCAGAGGCGCCCAGAACUGGAAUUCUGAUCCACAGCCGACGGCACGGUCCACAGACACACGCCUGGCCGCCAGCCGGCUGCUCCCGUGCCCCACCCCCCACACGCAGCCCUGCAGGCUCGGAGACCCCCGCCAGCCUCUCACCUGCUGCUCGCAGACCUGGUCCUGCUUUCAUGGAGGUGGCAUGGGCACUUGUGCUGUCUGGCUGUGCACACAGGGAGCCCCUGACGGAGAAGGUCACCGUGUGCGCGGUUGCCCUGAGCUCCCGUGUGGCUGUGCACCUGCCUGAGGGCUGGGGCCCAGGCAGCGCUCCAGGCAGGGCCACACCAGUCCCUGGAGCCGAGGGGUCCCCGCAGCUGGAGCCCCUUACCAAGGGCUGUGCCUGCUGUGUGCCCUGCGGACGGUGCCAGCAGCCCCCACCCACCCGGCUGCAGGUCUUCACUGCGCCCCGGGCUCAGUGUAGACAGGGCUCACGACGGUGCGUUAGGCUGGGUGAGAACCACCAGCAACUGCUAUUGGAGGUUUUGUUGGCUGUGGGUAUGACUGGCAGGGGAUGGUGUCUGUGCACGCGGCACUCCCAGGAGCUGAGGAGUGGGGAGACCUGGUGCUGUUCUGGACGGGCUCUCCUGUGGGACUCGGGAAGCAGACGUUAG